rnacentral:lncRNA from 1 species
AGUGAGGAACAGGAAGCAAGCGGAGGCACCGACCUGAGGAACGCUCAAAAUUAAAAUUUAAGAGCAAGCCCGGGAAUUUACGGUGGAGGGGUGCAAGUUCCGAGGGGACGCCGGAAAAGCCUGCGACGUCCACCCCUGACGACCGCCCUCGGGGGCGAACUGCCGCUCAGGAGGGCGAUCCGGACGCCCUGCCCGCGGCCCCGGCACGGCAGCCCCGGCGCGGCGGCCCGGCUUCGGCUUCCGCCCCAGCCCGGUCCCGGCGUCCUGCACCGCCGGCCCGGCCUCACUCACAGCAUGAUCCGCGAGACGUGCAGCCGCACCGGGACGCUCCUGUCUUUGAAGGCGGUGGUGAUGAAGCAGCCGAAGGGAUAAAGAAGAAAUAACCUUUAGUCAACCCACCAAUUACAUUUCUCCAUUUUCAGUGUUCAUUGAGCCAUUGGAUAUAAAUGUGAAUACAGAGAGGAGAGGGAAAGAGGAGUAUGCUAGGACUGAGUCCUUCCCUUCGGGCUAAUUGGUGCACUGUGGCAGAAAGACUGCUAGUUUUGCAUCAAGAUCCAUGAUCCUAAGUUUUCAGUGGGGCACAGAGCCACCUGGAACAAAGAUUACAUUUCCCAGCUUUCCUAAGAACCAGGUGUGCCCUUUUGACUGUUUUGGCAAUAGAGUCAUUGCCCA